rnacentral:rRNA from 1 species
AGAGUUUGAUCCUGGCUCAGGACGAACGCUGGCGGCGUGCCUAACACAUGCAAGUCGAACGAAGCUUGAGGAAGGAAUCUUCGGAGGAAUUCUGAAAUGACUGAGUGGCGGACGGGUGAGUAACGCGUGAGCAACCUGCCCUUCAGAGGGGGAUAGCGUCUGGAAACGGACGGUAAUACCGCAUAACGUAUAAAUACGGCAUCGUAGAUAUACCAAAGAUUUAUCGCUGAAGGAUGGGCUCGCGUCUGAUUAGAUAGUUGGUGGGGUAACGGCCUACCAAGUCGACGAUCAGUAGCCGGACUGAGAGGUUGAACGGCCACAUUGGGACUGAGACACGGCCCAGACUCCUACGGGAGGCAGCAGUGGGGAAUAUUGCACAAUGGGCGCAAGCCUGAUGCAGCAGCGCCGCGUGGAGGAAGACGGUUUUCGGAUUGUAAACUCCUGUUCUUAGUGAAGAAGAAUGACGGUAGCUAAGGAGCAAGCCACGGCUAACUACGUGCCAGCAGCCGCGGUAAUACGUAGGUGGCAAGCGUUGUCCGGAAUUACUGGGUGUAAAGGGAGCGCAGGCGGGGGAGCAAGUCAGCUGUGAAAUCCAUGGGCUUAACCCAUGAACUGCAGUUGAAACUGUUCUUCUUGAGUGAAGUAGAGGUUGGCGGAAUUCCGAGUGUAGCGGUGAAAUGCGUAGAUAUUCGGAGGAACACCGGUGGCGAAGGCGGCCAACUGGGCUUUUACUGACGCUGAGGCUCGAAAGUGUGGGGAGCAAACAGGAUUAGAUACCCUGGUAGUCCACACUGUAAACGAUGAUAACUAGGUGUAGGGGGUCUGACCCCUUCUGUGCCGCAGCUAACGCAAUAAGUUAUCCACCUGGGGAGUACGACCGCAAGGUUGAAACUCAAAGGAAUUGACGGGGACCCGCACAAGCAGUGGAUUAUGUGGUUUAAUUCGAAGCAACGCGAAGAACCUUACCAGCACUUGACAUCCAACUAACGAAAUAGAGAUAUAUAAGGUGCCCUUCGGGGAAAGUUGAGACAGGUGGUGCAUGGUUGUCGUCAGCUCGUGCCGUGAGGUGUCGGCUUAAGUGCCAUAACGAGCGCAACCCUUGCCGAUAGUUACUAACGGAUAAAGCCGAGGACUCUAUCGGGACUGCCACCGUAAGGUGCGAGGAAGGUGGGGAUGACGUCAAAUCAGCACGGCCCUUACGUCCGGGGCGACACACGUGUUACAAUGGUGAGGACAGAGAGUAGCGAGCAGGUGACUGUCAGCCAAUCUAUAAACCUCAUCUCAGUUCGGAUCGGAGUCUGCAACUCGACUCCGUGAAGCUGGAUUCGCUAGUAAUCGCGCAUCAGCCAUGGCGCGGUGAAUACGUUCCCGGGCCUUGCACUCACCGCCCGUCA